CUAGUGAUUCUUACAAGCCUGUUUGCCUGUGCCUCGAAAAUAGCUAUAUAUUCCUGAUGUAGCAUAUUGAUUCACAUAAAAUUGUGCCACAAAAAUGGGCCAAAAAUCUGAAAAUCUACAAUCAAGUAAUAUGUGGCUGUUGAGUGUUUCUGAGUUCGGCACUUUUCACCUUGGGAUUUAUGUCAUUUGCUCCUGCCUGCCUCCUCAUGAGACUCUCUCUCUCUCAAUGACACUCUUCCGCCUGGAUGAAGUUGGGUGGUCUACUCUACUGGAAGUCCAGCUGAUUAAACCAUGAUGAAAAACCUGACACCUGGUUCAAGGGGAGUUCUUGC
rnacentral:lncRNA from 1 species